AAGGUUUGGUCCUAGCCUUGAAAUCAGUUCUUAUUUAAUAUACACAUGCAAGUCUCCGCACCCCUGUGAAAACGCCCUUAAUCCCCUUAUGGGGAUAGGAGCUGGUAUCAGGCUCAACUCCUGCCCAAGACACCUAGCCUCGCCACACCCACAAGGGACCUCAGCAGUGAUUAACAUUGAGCAUAAGCGUCAGCUUGACUCAGUUAAACUUCAUAGAGCCGGCCAAUCUGGUGCCAGCCGCCGCGGUUAUACCAGAAGCUCAAAUUGAUUUCUAUCGGCGUAAAGCGUGAUUAAAGUUAUAUAUCCUAUGGAGUCAAAUUAAAACUAAGCUGUGACACGCCUGUUACCUAAGAAGCCCUAAAACGAAAGUAACUCCAACACUACCCACUUGAAUUCACGACAUCUGAGACACAAACUGGGAUUAGAUACCCCACUAUGCUCAGUCGUAAACCUUUAACUACACUCCUCUCGCCCGGGAACUACGAGCCAAGCUUAAAACCCAAAGGACUUGACGGUACCCCACAUCCACCUAGAGGAGCCUGUCCUAUAAUCGAUAACCCACGUUUAACCUCACCAUUUUUAGCCAAUUCAGCCUGUAUACCUCCGUCGUCAGCUUACCACGUGAGCGUCAGUGAGCUUAAUGUUAUUCAACCACACGUCAGGUCAAGGUGCAACUUAUAAAAUGGGAAGAGAUGGGCUACACUCUCUAACUUAGAACACACGGAAGACUACCAAUGAAAAUUUGUCAGAAGGCGGAUUUAGCAGUAAACAGGGAUCAAGACGCUCUGUUUAAUCCGGCACUGGGGUGUGUACACACCGCCCGUCACCCUCCUCUAACGCUAAACAUAGUUUUUAACCAACUUAAGCUCCCCAGAAGAGGUAAGUCGUAACAUGGUAAGUAUACCGGAAGGUGUGCUUGGAUA
rnacentral:ncRNA from 1 species